rnacentral:rRNA from 1 species
AGCGAACGCUGGCGGCAGGCCUAACACAUGCAAGUCGAACGAACCUUUCGGGGUUAGUGGCGGACGGGUGAGUAACACGUGGGAACGUGCCUUUAGGUUCGGAAUAACUCAGGGAAACUUGUGCUAAUACCGAAUGUGCCCUUCGGGGGAAAGAUUAAUCGCCUUUAGAGCGGCCCGCGUCUGAUUAGCUAGUUGGUUGAGGUAAUGGCUCACCAAGGCGACGAUCAGUAGCUGGUCUGAGAGGAUGAUCAGCCACAUUGGGACUGAGACACGGCCCAAACUCCUACGGGAGGCAGCAGUGGGGAAUCUUGCGCAAUGGGCGAAAGCCUGACGCGGCCAUGCCGCGUGAAUGAUGAAGGUCUUAGGAUUGUAAAAUUCUUUCACCGGGGACGAUAAUGACGGUACCCGGAGAAGAAGCCCCGGCUAACUUCGUG